AUAUAUUAAGAAGAGAUACAGAAAAAAGACAAUCACACUUUUCAGGAAAUGUCCAGCGAGGCUUUGGCUGGAUGGGUUUAGUUCAGAAAUGUCUCAUACAUUAAAGCACAAGGACUCUGGAUCCCUAGCUCACACACGAGGAUAUCUUCUAGUAGACAAGUGAUGACAACACUAAGGAGCUGAGUUCCUUUCUAUCCUUCCUGCUAGGGAGAUGAAAGAUUCGUCAGCCCGCACAUACCUGUAUGGCCAAAACCAACCGGAUGAGGUCCAC